rnacentral:rRNA from 1 species
UACAGAGGGGGCAAGCGUUGUUCGGAAUUACUGGGCGUAAAGGGCGCGUAGGCGGCCUGUUAAGUCGAACGUGAAAUCCCCGGGCUCAACCCGGGAACUGCGUCCGAUACUGGCAGGCUUGAAUCCGGGGAGAGGGAUGCGGAAUUCCAGGUGUAGCGGUGAAAUGCGUAGAUAUCUGGAGGAACACCGGUGGCGAAGGCGGCAUCCUGGACCGACACUGACGCUGAGGAGCGAAAGCCAGGGGAGCAAACGGG